rnacentral:rRNA from 1 species
GAUGAACGCUGGCGGCGUGCCUAAUACAUGCAAGUCGAGCGAACAGACGAGGAUCUUGCUCCUCUGACGUUAGCGGCGGACGGGUGAGUAACACGUGGAUAACCUACCUAUAAGACUGGGAUAACUUCGGGAAACCGGAGCUAAUACCGGAUAAUAUAUUGAACCGCAUGGUUCAAUAGUGAAAGACGGUUUUGCUGUCACUUAUAGAUGGAUCCGCGCCGCAUUAGCUAGUUGGUAAGGUAACGGCUUACCAAGGCAACGAUGCGUAGCCGACCUGAGAGAGGGAUCGGCGACACUGGAACUGAGACACGGUCCAGACUCCUACGGGAGGCAGCAGUAGGGAAUCUUCCGCAAUGGGCGAAAGCAUGACGGAGCAACGGCGAGUGAGUGAUGAAGGUCUUCGGAUCGUAAAACUCUGUUAUUAGGGAAGAACAAAUGUGUAAGUAACUAUGCACGUCUUGACGGUACCUAAUCAGAAAGCAACGGCUAACUACGUG